rnacentral:rRNA from 1 species
UACGUAGGGGGCAAGCGUUGUCCGGAUUUAUUGGGCGUAAAGAGCUCGUAGGUGGUUUGGUAAGUCGGAUGUGAAAUCUCCAGGCUCAACCUGGAGGGGUCAUUCGAUACUGCCAUGACUAGAGGUCGGUAGGGGAGUGUGGAAUUCCUGGUGUAGCGGUGAAAUGCGCAGAUAUCAGGAGGAACACCGGUGGCGAAGGCGGGUCUCUGGGCCGAUACUGACGCUGAGGAGCGAAAGCGUGGGGAGCGAACAGG